rnacentral:piRNA from 1 species
UGGAUCCGGUCUUUUCCAUAUGCCUG